AUUGAACGCUGGCGGCAUGCCUUACACAUGCAAGUCGAACGGCAGCGGGGGAGAAGCUUGCUUUUCCUGCCGGCGAGUGGCGAACGGGUGAGUAAUACAUCGGAACGUGCCCUGUAGUGGGGGAUAACUAGUCGAUAGAUUAGCUAAUACCGCAUACGACUUGAGGGUGAAAGUGGGGGACCGCAAGGCCGCAUGCUCUAGGAGCGGCCGAUGUCUGAUUAGCUAGUUGGUGGGGUAAAGGCCUACCAAGGCGACGAUCAGUAGCUGGUCUGAGAGGACGAUCAGCCACACUGGGACUGAGACACGGCCCAGACUCCUACGGGAGGCAGCAGUGGGGAAUUUUGGACAAUGGGCGAAAGCCUGAUCCAGCAAUGCCGCGUGUGUGAAGAAGGCCUUCGGGUUGUAAAGCACUUUUGUCCGGAAAGAAAUGGCUCUGGUUAAUACCUGGGGUCGAUGACGGUACCGGAAGAAUAAGGACCGGCUAACUACGUGCCAGCAGCCGCCGCCG
rnacentral:rRNA from 1 species